AUUGAACGCCGGCGGCAUGCCUUACACAUGCAAGUCGAACGGUAACAGGUCUUCGGAUGCUGACGAGUGGCGAACGGGUGAGUAAUACAUCGGAACGUGCCCGAUCGUGGGGGAUAACGAAGCGAAAGCUUUGCUAAUACCGCAUAAGAUCUACGGAUGAAAGCAGGGGACCGCAAGGCCUUGCGCGAACGGAGCGGCCGAUGGCAGAUUAGGUAGUUGGUGGGAUAAAAGCUUACCAAGCCGACGAUCUGUAGCUGGUCUGAGAGGACGACCAGCCUCACUGGGACGGAGACACGGCCCAGACUCCUACGGGAGGCAGCAGUGGGGAAUUUUGGACAAUGGGCGAAAGCCUGAUCCAGCCAUGCCGCGUGCAGGAUGAAGGCCUUCGGGUUGUAAACUGCUUUUGUACGGAACGAAAAGACUCUUUCUAAUAAAGAGGGUCCAUGACGGUACCGUAAGAAUAAGCACCGGCUAACUACGUGCCAGCAGCCGCGGUAA
rnacentral:rRNA from 1 species